CAAAACCUGAAGAAAAAUGUUGUCUGUAACAGAAGACUCUGUUAGGGACAACAUGCAGGAAGAAUGUAAAACGUGACAGACUUCAUUAUUUGACGUUUAAUGUAGCCUGUUUGCACAAAAAUAUAAUAGGUGUUUUGUGCAUAAGCAGGAUAGUAUUAUUUUAAUCCUGUGUUUUCACGGAUACGUGGAUGGUGAGAGGGGAGUGGCGCACACCGGAAAUUAGCCAACUAUUGCUCCUCCGGCUGCUUAUAGUUAGUCAUAGCCAUGGCGCCGGAUGAAAAAAUUGUAGAGUGGCAAACAAACGAGAUAAUUGAAUCGCUGUUUAACGACGAAAACAGUGCGAGGCCCCGUAUGAUAGAUGGUGAUUUGGAGACUGACAGUUCAGACGAUUUUGACCCGGUUAUAAUCGCUGAUAAACUGAGAGCUGUCGCCGAUACCCUGAAUAAGGACCCCAAUUUUAAAAAAGCAUUAGAUGAGCUGAAGAAAACCGCAGCAACAGAGGCUACAGAGGCUGCAUUUGAACGUGGCGUGGAGCUCCUAUGUAAGAGUCAUGUCGCUCAGAAAGCUGACAUUGCUCCAGAGAUGCAGCUGAUCCGGGCCUCAGCAGCUAUUGGACUUUAUCUGAAAAACUCAUACCCAGAGAUGAAAGAGAAUGUCAAGACAGCCUUGGCUUCAUUCCUCAACAGGCGGGUGGGCAAAUGGAUCACUGAGAAAGGUGGAUGGGUAAGUAAACUUUUAAGAUUCAGAUCACUUCAGAUUUAAGUCUAAAUAUGACAGUAAACCUCAACCAAAAAAGGUUGACUGGGGUAUUGAUGACAAGCUGCCGGAUGGACUGUGUCGAAACCUUUUCUUCUUCUUUUUUUGUUAAUGCAAUGACUCAAGAAUCUUGGGAUUUCCAAAUAUAUUUUUCUGUGUAUUAGAUGUUAAUCAUAAUAAGGUUGGAGGUCAGACACUGAAAAAAAUGACAGCUGAAGUAGCCUUUCAAUUGUCCCACUGCAAAUAUUGGUUAAACAAUAUGUUUAUGUAAAUACACUUGUAAUGAGUAAGAAUACCAUGGUAAUUUGGGGCUUUUAUUGAUUUCUUUGAACUGCUCUUUUUCCAGGGUGGAAUCACAGUAAGGCAUACAUCUCAUACAUUUUCUCCAAUCCACACAAGCUCAUAUAUAUAUAUAUAUAGGGCUGCUCGAUUAUGGCAAAAAUGAUAAUCACGAUUAUUUUCACUGAAAUUGAGAUCUCGAUUAUUUGACGAUAUUUAUUUAACAGUAACAAUGUAUUGAAUAAUGACUUUAAAGAUUGUCAAAAAAUAAUAUAAAAUAGUGUGCAAAUACUGAUAACAGUGCAAAUGUUUGCAAUAUAAAAAAUAAAUGAAAAAUGUAAACAUCUAUGUUUAGUGAACUUUGCGGUGUUGCUCUGUGGUGCAGCUACGACACUGUAGCAAAGUUUACACACUAUGUCUACUUGAUCCACGUCUGACUCGCGAACCCAUAAUGUUUCCACACCACUGAAGUUUUUUUUACCUCUCUUUUCAACCAAUGGCAGUCACUCUCCUCUCCAAAUAACUUCUGCUUAGCUUUCCGAGCUUCCCUCGGGUCCUCUUAAUCAGCGGUCCCCAACCCCCGGGCCUCGGACUGGUCCGGUCCGUGAGUCGUUUGGUACCGAGCCGCGAGAGUUGAGGCUCAGGUGUGAAGUGUAUAGUUUUCAGGGUUUUUAUCGGUUUUCAGCGUUAUUUUGUUAUCGUUUUUAUCGUUUACUCGGUUUUCCUGGGUCUUUUCACGUGCGUUAUGAAUAAAUUUUCUUUUUUUCGGUACCAGUACUAGUUUAAUUUUGUUGUAUUUAUCCGCGACACCUUAAAGGCCGGUCCAUGAAAAUAUUGUCGGGCAUAAACCGGUUCGUGGGGCAAAAAAGGUUGGGGACCGCUGCUCUUAAUUGUUGUGACACGUGGUCAAAAUGCAGAGAGGUGCACUCGAUUUGCCACAUGGAGCAGCGCGAGAGUAAAGCUAAUGGCUAAUAAUCGUCAUUGUGGCCAAAUAGAUCAGUCUUAGUCUCAUCUGAUCAUAAAACAUUUCUCCAAUAAGCAUUUUGCUUGUCCAAGCUUGGUACUCUCAGUUGAUGGUGAUGUAAACUUUCUCUGCUAUGUUGACAGUCAUCCUGUCAGUUUCCUUUCCUGUGAUAGUGAGAGUGUGGGUCUUCAUCCAGACCUUGACAAAGUGGCAACAAACUAAAAAUAACCUGUACUUGCGUACAAGUGUUUGAAUUGAUGGUUUUGGGAUAAGCGGUUGUUUAUGAAUGGCUCAGAGAGACCUUACCUUCCUUGGACUUUCCCAUUUUAUAGGUCAAUCCACUAAGUGCUGACAAACAAAUCAUUUUUAUACUGCCAAAGAGAAACUAUCAGUUUAGUCAUGAUUACAAAAACAAGAAGUUAAUAGGUCUUAAUUUUGUCAAGUGAAACAAAACUGUUGAACCUUUAAAACCUCUUAUUCAAAGAUUUUCAUAAUUUUGACUCUGUAGAUUAGAGAAAAUCCAAAAUGAAAAACAAAUGAAUACAGAUUAAGGAAUAAAUAGAUGUGUAAUGGAUGAUGAGAAUGACCGGUAGUCAGAAAGCAUAAUAAAGAGAUCUGAAAUGAGAGAAAACUGACUGAUGGCAGAUGGCUUCAAACUUGAAGCUUGUUGAUUCUACCUUGCUACAGGGACAUUUAACCAAAUAUUUGUGUGUGUGUGUGUGUGUGUGUGUGUGUGUGUGUGUGUGUGUGUGUGUGUGUGUGUGUGUGUGUGUGUGUGUGUGUGUGUGUGUGUGUGUGUGUGUGUGUGUGUGUGUAUUUAAGCCUGUAUGCACACUUCUGGGCCUAUGUGGAUUAGAGAAAAUCCAAAAUAAAUUUGUGCACCUAAUUCUUGUUUUGUUUUUGGUUUUUUAAGGUAUUUGGGAUGUAUGCAGUACAGAUAUUCCACCCUGGUAAAAUAACAGUUCAAACAAAUAAUUAAAAUGAUAAGUGUAUGUAACCAAAGCUCUACAGAAGAGGAGAAAAGUAAGGGUCAGAGAGUCUUUUUGUAUAAAUGUUUCUAGUGUUUUAUUAAAAGGACACUGCACUUUGUCCUGAUUGAACUUGUUAAACCUGACGCACUUGGCAAAGUUACUGAGGCUAUACUGACUUACUCUACAGGAAAUUGCAGAUGACCUUGUUAUGCAGCAUUUUUACAACAUGAAAUGAACUUUUAUCUUAGAUGAUUUUCGAAUCCGUCGGUCAUUCUUAGUCUGUCUUUGACCUGAACCACAGUCUUAUUUUAGUUAAGUCAUCUUUAAUUUUGGAUUCAGUUGCAGUUCAAAAAAUGAUUAAAAGACCAUUAUUGUUGUAUUAUACACUUUGUGCAAUAUCUGAAAUGUUUCAGUGACAUAUACAAAUUCAUGUCUUUUCAUUGUGCGUGUUUUGUUACUUUUCAGGGCAAAGUUGCACCUGUUUGAGACUAAAUCCAGCCAAACCAACCUCAUAGAGCUCUACAAUCAAACUGGGUAUUAAUUUCUUAAAUGUCUGUUCAGGGUUUUGUUAUCACACAGGCAGACAUGUUAUCACACACUAAGCCUGUUUAUUAUAUGAGAGAGAAGGGGGGGAAAAAAACAGAACACUUUCUCAUUGAAGUUCCUGCUUGGCUGAGCCCAUGUAGUGAUUCUUGGCUUUAUAUGUGGUGGUAAAAUAAUUGUAUUACUUGAAAUGCUCUCCCUGAAUGGGUUAAUAAAUAAAGGGCAAAUAAUAUAAAAAUAUGAUACCAGCGGAUCUUCACUACAUCAUGAUCUUAAGGGAGAGUCUUUUGAGUAAUCAGUGGGGUAGCCUCUAAUCAUGUCUAUUUAUUGUCUUUCUAAGUGCUGUCUUUUGGGAAGCUCUAGCAUUUCUCAGUAAGGUGAAAAUGCUUAGAUUAAUUAACAUUAUUUAGUAAGUUUAGGUGUGUUUUGAAUUCUUAAUGGGGAAAAACCUUAAAAAAGGGAUUUGUCCCUUUUGCAAAACAUGUUAAGAUUUUGACUCCAUAUGUACCUUAAAUCAUACUCAUUACAUUUUGCUAUCUUUGAUCGAGCUCUAAAUUCAUGUGUUUGAAAACAGUUUAGUGAAAUGCAGGUAGUCUGUCAUAUCUUGAGCCAUCAGAUGAUGAAGAACCUGCUGUCAGGUUGUUAUUUUUAUGUCUGCAUUUUAUUUAAUUUUUUUCACGAUGACAUAUUUGCACUGGGAAAAACUGAACAACUUCAAAAGUAGGUACACACGUGUUGCCAUUAGGGAUGUGCCAAUUGCAUUAAAAUAUUAAUUUGUAUGUCAGCUGGUAAAAUAUUUUUUAUUUUCUUAUUUGUUUCUUCUUAAUGACUCUAAACAGUAGUGGUAUAUACUUAAAUGUAAUGGUUAAUCCAACAUUAUGGACAAGGGUUUUAAUUGAAAUUAUAUUUCUAAUGCUAAAGUGUAAUUCAUGUUAUCCGUGAAUUUUCAAAUUUGCUGUUUUACAAAAAUUCAGAAAAAAUAGUAAAGCACUUAAAAGAAAAAGAGACCAACGGAAAGAUUAGUUGUUAGUGCCGGCUCAAAUUAAGGUCAGUGAAUUCAUUAAUUUUAAGUAGGUUUUUGACAGGAUUUCUAAAAUAAUGUUUGUUUUUCUGUUUCGUCAAUGACUGCUUAAUCAAUUUUAAAAGCAUUUGUUAAGCACUGUAUCUUUAAAUUUAGGAAACUAGAUUAUACAGUGAUGGAUAAAAAAAACAGUUAAUGCUAGAUUUGCUGAUGGCAAUCAAUGAAGCAGAUAUUAGGAAAUCAUGGUUAUUGGUGCUGUACGAUGAUGUCAUUAAACCCAGCAACAAAAGCAAAAAGAUGAAGCAAAUAAAAAAUGAAUGUAUAUUUGCACAUUGUUGUCAGUUAAAAGUGCAACUAAGCUUUUUCUUUUUGUAAUUUUUCUAAUGAUUCAAUAAAAAAAGAAUUUGAAAAUC
ensembl:lncRNA